GAUGAACGCUGGCGGCGUGCCUAAUACAUGCAAGUCGAGCGAACAGAUGAGGAGCUUGCUCCUCUGACGUUAGCGGCGGACGGGUGAGUAACACGUGGAUAACCUACCUAUAAGACUGGGAUAACUUCGGGAAACCGGAGCUACUACCGGCUAAUAUAUUGAACCGCAUGGUUCAAUAGUGAAAGACGGCUUUGCUGUCACUUAUAGAUGGAUCCGCGCCGCAUUAGCUAGUUGGUAAGGUAACGGCUUACCAAGGCAACGAUGCGUAGCUGACCUGAGAGGGUGAUCGGCCACACUGGAACUGAGACACGGUCCAGACUCCUACGGGAGGCAGCAGUAGGGAAUCUUCCGCAAUGGGCGAAAGCCUGACGGAGCAACGCCGCGUGAGUGAUGAAGGUCUUCGGAUCGUAAAACUCUGUUAUUAGGGAAGAACAAAUGUGUAAGUAACUAUGCACGUCUUGACGGUACCUAAUCAGAAAGCCACGGCUAACUACGUG
rnacentral:rRNA from 1 species